AGAACGAACGCUGGCGGCAGGCUUAACACAUGCAAGUCGAGCGCCCAGCAAUGGGAGCGGCGGACGGGUGAGUAACACGUGGGAACAUGCCUUUCGGUACGGAACAACUUCGGGAAACUGAAGCUAAUGCCGUAUGCGCCCUUACGGGGAAAGAUUUAUCGCCGAAAGAUUGGCCCGCGUCUGAUUAGCUAGUUGGUGAGGUAACGGCUCACCAAGGCUUCGAUCAGUAGCUGGUUUGAGAGAACGACCAGCCACACUGGGACUGAGACACGGCCCAGACUCCUACGGGAGGCAGCAGUGGGGAAUCUUGGACAAUGGAGGAAACUCUGAUCCAGCCAUGCCGCGUGAGUGAUGAAGGCCUUCGGUUGUAAAACUCUUUACCAGGAAGAUAAUGACUGUACCUGGAGAAUAACGCCCCGCUAACUUCGCGCCAGCAGCCGAC
rnacentral:rRNA from 1 species